GGGAAAGCCAUUUCAAUGCAUAUCCAGUGUAUGGGAAUCGCGUGGAGAACAUGAAGUCAUCAGGAAAUGGUGAGGAGAUGCCUGAUGCCCAGAAGAAAAAAGAUGUUUUCCGUCCCUCCUUGCUUGAUAUGGAAACUGGUCGUCGUGAUCGCUGGCGAGAUGAAGAAAGAGACACCAAUUCCUCCUUGGUGCGCAAAGAUCGUUGGAGAGAUGGAGAUAAGGAGCACGGUGACACCCGGCGGAUGGAUCGCUGGAUGGACAAUUCAUCAACCAGACAUUAUGAGUCACGCCGUGCUCCUUCCGAGCGCUGGACUGAUUCAGGUAACAGAGAGACUAACUAUGAUCAGCGGCGAGAGAGCAAGUGGAAUACACGUUGGGGGCCUGAUGACAAGGAGACAACAAGUGCACGCGACAAGUGGAUGGACUCUGGAAGAGAUGGUGACUUGCCUCUUGAAAAGGGGUUGUCUCAUCUUCCUAGUCAUGGAAAGGAUGAGAGGGAGGGUGAUCAUUACCGGCCAUGGAGAUCUAACUCCUCCCAAAGUCGAGGAAGGGGAGAGCCUCCUCAUCACCAACCUUUAAUGGCAAAUAAACAACAGGUUCUGACAUUUUCUCCUGGCCGUGGACGUGGGGAAAAUACUCCAACUUUUCAUUCUCAAUCUUGGGGAGCCACCAUGUUGCAU
rnacentral:misc_RNA from 1 species